GGACUGGAGUCUGCAACUCGACUCCACGAAGUCGGAAUCGCUAGUAAUCGUGGAUCAGAAUGCCACGGUGAAUACGUUCCCGGGCCUUGUACACACCGCCCGUCACACCAUGGGAGUGGGUUGCAAAAGAAGUAGGUAGCUUAACCUUCGGGAGGGCGCUUACCACUUUGUGAUUCAUGACUGGGGUGAAGUCGUAACAAGGUAACCGUAGGGGAACCUGCGGUUGGAUCACCUCCUUACCUUAAAGAA
rnacentral:rRNA from 1 species